rnacentral:lncRNA from 1 species
UUUUCUGUUCCAGAGAGCUGGUUCUUAGCUUUAGUUUCCUCCUAGGCAUCCAACUUGUUCUCCUUGUUUUGUUAGAAACUUGCAUAAGAGCUCUACAAGCUUCCCCAAUGGUUUCAGUGCAAGAGUGUCCGGGAACAUUAUCGUCAAGCUGGGAAUUAGAGUUUAUUUCAAACUGUGUCCUCCUACUUUACAUGAGAAAUGUAUUUCUUCCAGCUUGUGAGAUCCACUGAGAUACCUUCAUCGGUCCAGGCAGCCCCACUUCUCUCUGAGCAAUGGCUGAGAACAGGCUGCUCAGCAGUUCCAGGAUGGGGACCCACAAUGGGGCUGUUGUCCUUGUGAUGUUUGUGCCUAUACACCAUGCUAACCUGCUUUUCUUUAUUGACAUUAUAUUGAAACUGAAGUAAGGACAGGAUUCCAUCCCGAGUGUCUGAGGACACUGAGACAAGGACACACUCCCUGUGAAGUGAAUGGUCAUGCUUAAAAUCCAGUGUUUCCCUUCUCUGAGAAGGCAUGGUGUCCGAAAAGAUCCUUUUAAUACUGAUGUCAAAGAGUGUACUGCCUACGUUUUCUUCCAGAAGCCUUAUGGUUUCAGGUCUCACCUUUAGGUCUUUGAUCCAUUUUGAGUUUGUUUUGGUGAAUGGUGAAAAAGAAUGGUCAAUUUUCAUUCUUUUACAUGUGGCUUUCCAGUUUUCCCAGCACCAUUUGUUGAAAAGACUUUCUUUUCUCCAUUGUAUGCCCUCAGCUCCUUUGUCAAAGAUAAGCUGUCCAUAGAUGUGUGGUUUUAUUUCUGGGCUUUCAAUUCUGUUCCAUUGAUCUGUGCACCUGUUUUUGUACCAGUACCAUGCUGUUUUGAUUACUAUAGCUUUGUAGUAUGUUUUGAAGUCAGGGAUUGUGAUGCCUCCCGUUUUGUUCUUUUUUCUCAGGAUUGCUUUAGAAAUUCGGGGUCGUUUGUCGCCCCAUAUGAAUUUUAGGAUUGUUUUUUCUAAUUCUGUAAAGAAUGUCAUUGGGAUUCUGAUUGGGAUGGCGUUGAAUCCAUAGAUUGCUUUAGGUAGAACGGACAUUUUAACUAUGUUUAUUCUUCCAAUCCAUGUACAUGGAAUGUCUUUCCAUCUCCUUAUCUCAUCAUCCAAUUCUCUCAGAAAGGCCUUGUAACUUUCAU